GCAGUGGUAGUUAAGGGUAGAAUUCUUGCCUUCCAUGCGAGACACUCAGGUUCGAUUCCUGGCCAGUGCA
rnacentral:tRNA from 1 species